rnacentral:lncRNA from 1 species
UGUCCCAACUGCUGACCUCUCUGCUCACUCUACUAAACAAGGGGGAUAGACCAGCUGCUCACCAAAAUCUACAGAAGUAGGGCUCUUUUUUUUCUUUCCCACAGAGGAACCAGACUGUAUCAGAGUCUCUAUCUAGCCUGUGACAUGACCACCAGGAUGGAUCUAACAGAGCCAUACUGAAGACUGCCACAGAAUACAAACAUGGGCCAGAGAAUGCUACCUGUUAAGCCUGGCCUCCAUCUAUCCACUGAGUGUAUCCAACCUACCACAACAGAUCAUGUGCAACCAAGGAUAAAACAAAAUCACAAACAUUAAGACAUGUGUGUGGUGUGGUGUGUGGGUGUGUGUGUGUAUGUGUGCGCGCCCCAUUUUGUAACUCAGUUGUGGAGUUCUCCAGUAUGAACUUUGUAGAAGACUACCUCAGGUCACAAUGUCAAAAGGUUAUGUGUUGUGAUUCUAAUCCCAAGAGAUUAUUUGAAGUGACUAUACUGAUAGAGGAAUUCUAGCCUAAACCAAGUUCACAAAAGCCCUAGCCCUACUCAAGAAAUGGAGAAUCUAUCUGACCUGUGAGAGAGAAACAAGAGUGGCCCGAGGAAAAGGCACUGAAGGUUAGUCUCUUUGAGACCCAUUCUUUCCUUCAGCUCAUUAAGAAGCCAAGAAUGACCUUGAAUUCCUGAUCCUACUGUCCUUACCUUCCAAGUGCUGAGAUUAUAACUAUGUGUCACCACACCUGGUUUCC